rnacentral:tRNA from 1 species
GCACUCGUAGCUCAGCUGGAUAGAGCAUCUGGCUUCGAACCAGAGGGCCGGAGGUUCAAGUCCUUCCGGGUGCACCA